UUUAAACAGUGAAAGCGUUAGUUUUGGUUCCGAGCUUGAGGCGGUAAUGUUGUGGCAGUAUGGAUUUUGUCAGGUUGAAAUUAGGAGACGGAUGCUAGGUUCAGUAUAGAUUUUACGUGUGUAGAACGAUGGGAACAUAGAUAUGUUUAGGCUGGCUGUGUGUUGUGUCAGGAUUUACUGUUAUGGGCCACGAACAUUGUAAUCAAAAGAAUGCCUGUUUACGCUGGCAUUUUUAUAAAAUAUUUCACCGUCCCCUGUGUAUCACAUAAACAGUUACUUAUACGUAGUGAAAUAUUUUGACACAUUCUACAAAAUGUCUCAUCAUGGACCUUCAUAUUCGCCAGCGUACGUACACGACGAGUAUGAUUUUGAAGAUGACAACGACGAUGAUUUGGACGACGACAGAGAGAAUGACGAGCACGAUGAAAGCGAUGAAGAUACGGAAGAAGCCAGUGAAACAGAUAUGGGAAAAUCCGAAGAAUACACGGAAAUCAAAGAGCAAAUGUACCAAGACAAACUUGCCAGUUUAAAGAAACAGCUCCAGCAAUUGAAAGAUGGGACACACCCAGAAUAUAACAGAAAACUGAAGAAGUUAGAACAAGCUUAUAGAGAGAGGUUGCGUUUAAACAUCAUUUCAAGGGAUUAUUUAAAUGAGUGUGUGGAAAGAGAUUACACUAUUGAAAAAAAGGCAGCAGCAAAAGAAUUUGAAGAAAAGAAGAUAGAACUUCGUGAGACGCUUAUAAGUGAUUUGGAGGAAAAGAGAAAACUUAUAGAAUCUGAACGUCACACUAUGGAGUUGACAGGCGAUUCUAUGGAAGUGAAACCAGUCAUGACGAGGAAACUACGUCGUCGUCCAAACGAUCCAGUUCCAAUUCCAGAGAAGAGGCGGAAACCUCCACCUGCACAGUUGAAUUAUUUAUUAGAUGAGAAAGAAAUAGAAGCAGAUCUUAAAUUAAUUAAUAGAGGAAAGUUAAUGGGACCUAUCAGAAAACCAGCUCUUGUGUCCAACACUGGUUUGCCUGUUACACCAGCUGUCCCAGAAAAUUCACUACCAGAGACAAGAAUUGAAGAUGGUAAAUUGCUCUAUGAGAGGAGAUGUGGUCCCAGUGGCUGGGCUGGAGUUACUAGUGAUAGAUGGAUGCAUUGGACAAGAUAUGCAUCUGGAACGGCUGUACAGGUAUCAUCGAGGGCAGCCUGUUUACGUUGAGGGAAAGGACAUCUCUCGCUUUUCAGCAGUAAUUUCUGCCAUUGGAUUGGAUGUGGUCUGGGUGAAAAAAGUCUCUGAUGGAAACAAGGUUCGCAUUUUUCUGUCGCAGUUGACACGUGGGAAGAUCUCAAUAAAAAGAAGAGCAUCAUAAGUGUCAUAAACAUGUCGAUAUCCUUCAAAAUCUUUGGAUUUCUCUGAAAUAAUUACUUUUGAUGUGCAGACCAUAGCAUUCCCUCAUUGCAUAUCUCUGGCCAUUCAGUUUUAUUAAAUCUGCAUGAUAUUCUAUGCAGAAUAUGUAAGUAGCAUUUAUUCUAAACCAGGAGGUGGUAUCAUCUCAAAUAUUGGAAACGUCAGUUUAAAAUGUGAUAGAGUGCUUCAUAGACCUUGCUUGUUUUACAAGUGUCUGUGUACAGCACCUAAUUUUUAUAAUAUUUGUAUUACAAAUACUGUAAAUAAACGCUAUUUUGUCUCUUUUA